rnacentral:rRNA from 1 species
GAUCAUGGCUCAGGAUGAACGCUAGCUACAGGCUUAACACAUGCAAGUCGAGGGGCAGCGGGAAGUCAGCUUGCUGACUUUGCCGGCGACCGGCGCACGGGUGAGUAACACGUAUCCAACCUCCCGCAUACUCGGGAAUAGCCUUUCGAAAGAAAGAUUAAUGCCCGAUGGUUUCAAGGGAUUGCAUGGUAUCUUGAAUAAAGAUUCAUCGGUAACGGAUGGGGAUGCGUUCCAUUAGG